UACAGAGGGUGCGAGCGUUGUCCGGAAUCACUGGGCGUAAAGGGCGCGUAGGUGGUGGCUUAAGCGUGCGGUGAAAGCUCGGAGCUCAACUCCGAGUCGGCCGUGCGAACUGGGCUCACUGGAGCAUAGUAGAGGCAGGUGGAAUUCCGGGUGUAGCGGUGGAAUGCGUAGAGAUCCGGAAGAACACCGGUGGCGAAGGCGGCCUGCUGGGCUAUGGCUGACACUGAGGCGCGACAGCGUGGGGAGCAAACAGGG
rnacentral:rRNA from 1 species